rnacentral:rRNA from 1 species
AACGCGAAGAACCUUACCUGGCCUUGACAUGUCUGGAAGUCUGCAGAGAUGCGGAUGUGCCUUCGGGAACCAGAACACAGGUGCUGCAUGGCUGUCGUCAGCUCGUGUCGUGAGAUGUUGGGUUAAGUCCCGCAACGAGCGCAACCCUUGUCCUUAGUUGCCAGCAUUAAGAUGGGAACUCUAAGGAGACCGCCGGUGACAAACCGGAGGAAGGUGGGGAUGACGUCAAGUCAUCAUGGCCUUUAUGGCCAGGGCUACACACGUGCUACAAUGGUAGAAACAGAGGGAAGCCAACGCGCGAGCGGGAGCCAAUCCCAGAAAAUCUAUCGUAGUCCGGAUCGGAGUCUGCAACUCGACUCCGUGAAGUCGGAAUCGCUAGUAAUCGCAGAUCAGCAUUGCUGCGGUGAAUACGUUCCCGGGCCUUGUA